rnacentral:rRNA from 1 species
AUUGAACGCUGGCGGCAGGCCUAACACAUGCAAGUCGAGCGAGCGGCGGACGGGUGAGUAAUGUCUGGGAAACUGCCUGAUGGAGGGGGAUAAAUACUGGAAACGGUAGCUAAUACCGCAUACCAUCAGAUGUGCCCAGAUGGGGUUAGCUAGUAGGUGGGGUAACGGCUCACAUCAGCGACGAUCCCUCGCUGGUCUGAGAGUAUGACCAGCCAACAUGGAACUGAGACCCGGUCCAGACUCCUACGGUAGGCAGCAGUGGUGCAUAUUGCACAAUGGGCGCAAGCCUGAUGCAGCCAUGCCGCGUGUGUGAAGAAGGUCUUCGGAUUGUAAAGCACGUUAAGUUGGGAGGCGUUACCAACAGAAUAAGCACCGGCUAACUUCGUGCCAGCAGCCGCGGUAAUAC